AUAUAUCAACCUUCACUUGUUGAUUGGUUUGGAUGUGGGGGGUUUGCCUGGCCUCUUAAAAGGUUUUGGCUCCCCUGAAAUGCAUUAGCAGAACAACCCUGUUCAUUGGUGUGAUAAACUAUCUACGCUAUUGAAUGUGAAGGGCAGUUUGGCUUUCUAACAGUCCUCGGACAAACUCAUCAUUA
rnacentral:misc_RNA from 1 species